CUUAAUUAGAGAGUCCAUCCAGUCAGAAGGAGCUGCCAGUGGGACUGUUGAUACUUCUGGGUUGUGAAAAACAGGGUUAGAGUGAUCUUCCCAGAUGAAGAGUUUUCUGAGGAAUGCUGGUGAAACUAGGAGUACUUUUGAAGAGAAAUACCAAGAUGAAGAAAAGUGAGAUUAAGUGACUUCCACACGGUCCCAUAACUAGUAAGAUUUAAUGGUAGGAUAUUGAGGCUUUCAUGGUGGCAAAUAUGGCUUUCUGCUUAUCGAGACAACUUUCCUCUUAUAAAAAGGUGUGAUGCCAAUUUAUUUAAAUGAGUUCCAGGAAAACACUACAAAGCAUGAGUGCCUAUGAGCUAUCAAUGAAGCUGACUUUUGGAAAAUUUGGAAAUCUUACAAACUUCGUUGGACAUUUCUCAUAUGAAAAUUUGCUCUUGGGUUCAUAUAAACUGAAGGAAGAGUGACAGGGGAAAAGGGAUAUUUACAGCAGAUCCUUCCCAUGUAAACAUCAUGGCAACAUUUGUGGAAGUCAAAAUUGGAUUAAAAGAAGUAAGAAGAAAAUAAAAUAAUUUGAGAGAAUUAUGGUCUAGGACUA
rnacentral:lncRNA from 1 species